UAACUGUGUGUUUGAAGGUAGGUGGGAGGCUGGCUUUGAUGUGCUGUUGGACCAGCCUCUCAAAGCACUUUAUAAUGACUGGUGUGAGG